GUGUGUGUGGAAGGAGAGAAGGUCAGCACUCCCUUGACUAGGGUGGAAGAGCCCUUGGGUCUGACAACAUCCAAGCCCGGCCACCUGCCUCUGAGUGUCUGACCUUGUUUU
rnacentral:ncRNA from 1 species